GCCCUAGUAACGGCGAGUGAAGCGGCAACAGCUCAAAUUUGAAAUCUGGCGUCUUUGGCGUCCGAGUUGUAAUUUGCAGAGGGCGCUUUGGCAUUGGCAGCGGUCCAAGUUCCUUGGAACAGGACGUCACAGAGGGUGAGAAUCCCGUACGUGGUCGCUAGCCUUUACCGUGUAAAGCCCCUUCGACGAGUCGAGUUGUUUGGGAAUGCAGCUCUAAAUGGGAGGUAAAUUUCUUCUAAAGCUAAAUACUGGCCAGAGACCGAUAGCGCACAAGUAGAGUGAUCGAAAGAUGAAAAGCACUUUGGAAAGAGAGUUAAAAAGCACGUGAAAUUGUUGAAAGGGAAGCGCUUGCAGCCAGACUUGCCUGUAGUUGCUCAUCCGGGUUUUUACCCGGUGCACUCUUCUAUAGGCAGGCCAGCAUCAGUUUGGGCGGUUGGAUAAAGGUCUCUGUCACGUACCUCCUCUCGGGGAGAACUUAUAGGGGAGACGUAAUGCAACCAGCCUGGACUGAGGUCCGCGCAUCUGCUAGGAUGCUGGCGUAAUGGCUGUAAGCGGCCCGUCUUGAAACACGGACCAAGGAGUCUAACAUCUAUGCGAGUGUUUGGGUGUCAAGCCCGAGCGCGUAAUGAAAGUGAACGGAGGUGGGAACCUUUCGGGGUGCACCAUCGACCGAUCCUGAUGUCUUCGGAUGGAUUUGAGUAAGAGCAUAGCUGUUGGGACCCGAAAGAUGGUGAACUAUGCUUGAAUAGGGUGAAGCCAGAGGAAACUCUGGUGGAGGCUCGCAGCGGUUCUGACGUGCAAAUCGAUCGUCAAAUUUGGGCAUAGGGGCGAAAGACUAAUCGAACUAUCUAGUAGCUGGUUCCUGCCGAAGUUUCCCUCAGGAUAGCAGUAACGUUUUCAGUUUUUAUGAGGUAAAGCGAAUGAUUAGAGGCCUGGGGGUUGAAACAACCUUCACCUAUUCUCAAACUUUAAAUAUGUAAGAAGUCCUUGUUACUUAAUUGAACGUGGACAGUUGAAUGUAUCGUUACUAGUGGGCCAUUUUUGGUAAGCAGAACUGGCGAUGCGGGAUGAACCGAACGCGGGGUUAAGGUGCCAGAAUAUACGCUCAUCAGACACCACAAAAGGUGUUAGUUCAUCUAGACAGCAGGACGGUGGCCAUGGAAGUCGGAAUCCGCUAAGGAGUGUGUAACAACUCACCUGCCGAAUGAACUAGCCCUGAAAAUGGAUGGCGCUCAAGCGUAUUACCCAUACCCCGCCGCUGGGGCAAGAUUUAAGCCCCAGCGAGUAGGCAGGCGUGGAGGUCCGUGACGAAGCCUG
rnacentral:rRNA from 1 species